rnacentral:lncRNA from 1 species
AAGGCAGAAUCUCACAUCAUAACCCCAAAUGACCUGUUACUCACCAUGUGGCCCAGCUGUCUUCAAACUCACCAGCCUCCUGCCUUAGCCUUCUAAAUGCUUGGAUUACAGGCAUGACCCACCAUAACUGGCUUUGUUUUAGUUUCAGAGAAGAUGAAACUGAUGUGCGUCAAAAAGGUAAAUGUCACAUGACCCAUCUUAUGUUGAAUAAAACUAUUCUAUGAUUCAAUCUGUAUAAGCUUCAAAGAUAAAUUAACUAGCAGCACAUUUUUAUUAUUGUUUGUAUAGUAUGUUUGAUCAAAUUCCUUCCCCUCCCCAAACUCCCUCUAGAUCCUCCCCAUCUCUCUAUCCACCCAACUCUUUGUUCUUUAUCUCUCCCAAAAUAAAGAACAAAACAAGAAAAAACAACAACAAAAAAUGAAAGCAUGUGCGUGCAAGCACACCCCCCCAUACACACACAAACACACACACAAACAUACACACACACAUACACACACACACCACAUAAAGUCUAUUUUGUGUUGGCCAACCAUUUCUAUGCAUGAAGCCUGAUGCAUGAAGCCACAAAAAUUGGCUGAUAUACUCUCUCUCCCUGCACUGCUAUGAAAUAGCUCCUCUUUCCUGUAAUCUUCUCAUGAGAGUUGGGCAUCUCCUGUCUCUGACUCAGUCUGUCAAAUCUUUCUCUGACUCAUUACUUUGUCUGCCUGGUAGUCUGUCAAGGAAAUGAGCUGAACAUGUCUGUGUACAGCUUUUGUGCCAUCCCUGGAUGAGCGAGCUGUCUGCCUCUAUGUUCUCCACAAAAUGGAAUAUAGCUGUACACCCAAGCCAAGGUCAGUCACAGCGGCAAGGACCCUAUCUUUAUUUUUUAUAUGAAUUUUUAAAAGAUUUAUUCAUUUAUUUUAUGUAUGUGAGUACAUUGUAGUUAUCUUCAGAUAAACCAGAAGAGGGUACCAGAUCUCAUUAAAGAUGGUUGUGAGCCACCAUGUGAUUGCUGGGAAUUGAACUCAAGACCUCUGGAAGAGCAGUCAAUGCUCUUAUCUGCUGAGCCAUCUCUCUAGCCCCAGAACACUAUCUUUACACAUGGCAAGGCAAUGUGAUAGAAGAAUUGUGCAUACUGAGACAUAGCAAAGGCCUGUUUAGCAUAGCAUUCACCUUGGAACACCCAUUCCUUCUUUGACCUAUUAGGAAGAGGGAAACAUUUUUCUAUGAUACGGAAGCUAAGGUUACUAGCUAUCUUUGUUAUAACUUCCUUUAUCAUCUAAUUCUCAGCGUAUAGAAUUAAUUUUUUUCCAACUUGCUGAUUUAAUCUGUUUACUGUUCUAAUGAGAAACACUUAAGGCUAUGUAACUAAUAAAGAUUUUAAUUUUUACAGUUAUGGAGGCUGGGAAGACCUAGAAUGUGGCAUCACUAUUUGGUAAGAACCUUCCUAUGUCAUUGUAGAGUGAGGGACUUGGGUACCACAUGGCAAGGCAUAGUACCCAAAUCCCUUUCCUUCAUAAAAGUAUUAAUGUCAUCAAAGAGGCCCCACCACCAUGAUGCCAUCUGGGGCCUCAUGACCCCAAUGCCUGAUGCCAAAGACUCCCACCUCAAAAUACUUUUUUCUUCAGCAUAACAUUUUAUUAAUUAUCUGGGA